rnacentral:rRNA from 1 species
UACGAGUGCUCCAAGCGUUGCCCGGAUUCAUUGGGCGUAAAGGGUGUGUAGGUGGAUUUAUUAGUCUUUUGUUAAAGUUCCCAGCCUAACUGGGAGAGUGCGGAAGAAACGGUAAGUCUGUGAACAUGCGAGAGGUGUACGGAACUCACGGUGUAGGGGUGAAAUCCGUUGAUAUCGUGGGGAACACCAAAGGCGAAGGCAGUACACUGGCGCAUUGUUGACACUGAAACACGAAAGCGUAGGUAGCGAACGGG